ensembl:snoRNA small nucleolar RNA, H/ACA box 19
AUGCGCAUUUCAUUGACCUGCUUUCUCUUGUACGUGUGAGCAGUGUUAUUUCUCAUGUGCUAUACAAGUGGUCGAAGGUUAAUUAGCAGUAUAACUUAAAUAGUAAUGCUGCCAGUCUCCUUCAGACAGAU